AUGCUGAGAAUCAGAUUAAGAAUAGGAAUAAGAUUGAGAACACUUACCUGCCCUCCCAUAGUAACACUGCUGUCCAUUAAAGCAGCAGUUGAUAGCUUCACACUCAGCACCAUUGAUCACAGGUGGUCCACAUUGGAUCUGCUCAUAAUCAGCUACAGCACAUUUAUCAAGGGGCUCUGCCUGCACCACUGGCUUCUGAUGCUGAAACUGCUGGUUAGUUUGUUGGCGAACUGGCUUCUGAAGCUGAAACUGCUGGCUAGUUUGUUGAACUGGCUUCUGAAGCUGAAACUGCUGGUUAGUUUGUUGUUGAACUGGCUUCUGAAGCUGAAACUGCUGGUUAGUUUGUUGUUGAACUGGCUUCUGAAGCUGAAUCUGCUGGUCAGUUUGCCGGAUUAUCAGAGCUUGAGGUUUCUGAGGCAUAUUGCUCCACUGUGGAACAGCAUGACAGAAACCACACACUGCCAAAAUCUGAACCAAACACCAACUUCCAGCCAUUGUUCAACAGCUUAGCACAAAAUGGAGAUGCUGCCCUUUGAUCUUUUUAUACUCUACAGGUUUCAGCUAAUUCAAGAUAGUCCCACCCACCUUCAUUAACCCUCAUGAUUCUCCAGACUUGCAUGAGUUGGCGCUUAUGCAGAGUGAUUCUUGAACGCUGUGUCCCAGACUGAAGUGUACGGAGCCCCGCAUAUGACAUGCAAGAAAAAAUAAAUAAAUUGUGCGCACGAUUUACUAAUUCGUUCCCUCAAUGUACUAAAAAGUGCACACGAUUACUAUUGCAUUCCCUCGAUUUACUAUUGCGUUCCCUCGAUUUGCUAUAUCGUGCGCACGGUUUAGCAAAUCGAGGGAACGAAUUAGUAAAUCGUGCGCACAAUUUAUAAAUCGAGUGAACGAAAUAGUAAUCAUGUGCACAUUUUAGUACAUUGAGGGAACGAAUUAGUAAAUCGUACGCACGAUUUAGCCUACUAUUUUUUCCUGCAUGCCAUGUGCGGGGCUCCGUAAAAAAAAGUGUUAAAAGCCAGGGUUUUUUUUAACACAAAGCCCACAGACCAUAAAACAACUGCUAUAUAAGGCAAUAGUCUUUCCCUUUGUUGUGUUUUUGUAGUGCUGUCAUGCAAGAUAUAUCUACAAAUGUUUUAACAAAACUUUAGUACUUCAGUAUUUUGUAUGCAUGUCCUGCUGUGUAGUAUUUUCUAAUGUUAAGAUUGCAAACCUGUCAAACCCCAUAAGUGUUUCCAUUUUCUUUUGUUUUAGUACUAUUCAGGAGAAAAUGAGCCUGCUGGGGAAAGACUUAAAAAAUACAAAGUAAAGUUAAUAGACACUUUUUUUGCUGAAAUUCAUUGUGCUGUUGUUGUUAACAGGCAUGGUUUAUUUGCUCUGCCUUAGGAUUGCAAGUGUCCUGGGACAGGUGAGGGAGUGAGUGGAAGCUGGUGGAGCUGCUCAGAGAGGACAUCAAACACCAGAGAAACAGAGGAGAGAAGAGCACAGGAGAGCAAGUGUCCUGGGACAGGUGAGGGAGUGAGUGGAAGCUGGUGGAGCUGCUCAGGGAGGAAAUCAAACACCAGAAAGAGACAGAGGAGAGAAGAGCACAGCAGAGCAGGGAGAGAAUGGAGAGACAAUAAAUUAUUUAUUAACCCUUCUCUAAACAAGAGAAAACCGUAGAAAAAUUGGGUACAUUACAAGUUUUCAAUAUCUUUUUUUAAAUGUCACAUUGUCAAUGAAAUAACCUUGUACUAAAUUCCUUAUUCUUUUGUAAGGGUAGUCUUGUCAACGUGCAUGUGAGUAGUUGUGUGUGUACAGAGCUUUAUCUUUAUCUUUCUUUAUCUGUCAUAUUGCAAUAACGUUGCCACAGCAUGUCUGAUUAUUGUCAUCAGUGCAUAUUGUAGUUGAGUUUAUACAGAAUGUGGAGAAGUGAUGCGCACAUUAUUCACAUGCAUGUUUUGUGCCAUUUCUUGUGUAGUAUUUAAUAUUAAUGUAUAGAAAAGAUGUAUACUGAGAUAAAUGUUGUUUACUGUAUACAGAUGGAUUCUGAUAUUUCAUUUGUUUAUUUCAGACUAAACCACAUUUGCCACCUCUGUUAAUUUAAGAACUGUACAAUGCUGGAUGAUGUAAAGUCACAUCCUGAAGAUAUAAACCAUUGAACAACCACCUGUCUCCUGUCACACUUCUUGUUGGAGUUCCGUAGUGGACUAGCAUUAUACCUACUAUAGUGAACAGAUACCUUUUACAUUUGGUCCCUCAAGCCGGAUAGCUAGAGCCACUACGGUGACAUGGAUCAACAGAUACUGCAUUAUUCUCCCGAUAACACAUGUCUUACUCAGAUGGAAGCACGAGUUCGUCAGAUCCCUUCAUAUUUGCAGGCUUACGAUGUAGC
ensembl:lncRNA